GGAUGUGGCUCAGUGGUAGAGUGCUUGCCUGGAAAGCAUGAGGCCAUGGGUUCAAUUUCCAGCACCA
rnacentral:tRNA from 1 species